UUUGGGGGGGUCCCGAGUCUUUGGGACCUAUAUUUGGGGGUCAUAGGCUGAAAAGUUUGGGAACCCUUGUCUUAGGUUAUAAAGCUCAGAGGAUGUUGGGUAAAGCUCAUAGAAGUCUCUCUCUGGUGUCAGUUGUUCCUGAAACCCCGGCUGACCAAUGAGAGCCUUAGAAAUGUUUACAGAGAGUGAAGCUGCUCCUAUGUUUUGUGGUUUGUUCAGAAAUCUCAGAGAGAGCUGCGCCACCCAAAUCAAAGCCCUGCAGACAAAUCCAAAGACUCCCCACAGCCCAACCCACACCAGCCAACGCCCAACCUCCACCAGCGAGGUGUGUCUGCAGCGAGCGCACACAUCGCAGCUCUGACACAAAGAGAGCUCUAAAGCUGCUUUUAAACUCCUCAUAGACUUUCAACAGGCUUCUGCUUGUUACUGCUGUAACAUGAAGAUCACACCCAUCAACAGUAUUCAAUGUGACGACAGCUACCAGAAGGAAGAGGUUACCAGGAGUCACCCUGAGUCAGCCUCCAUGCUGCAGAGGAAAGCCUCCUUCAAAGAUGGCCGACAUCAUCGUCCUCACGGGAGGUUGUUAACGUGUCUUAACUUCACGCAGGGUCCGUUGACUGAAGUCAGCAUCCAGAGGAAUCUAAGGUGUGUCUGUUUGCUUUCAGUCGGUCCGAGGGGACGAGGCUCACCGCAGACCACUCACCCUCUGAUUCAGGGAUUCUUGCAGCCACAGCAGACUCUACCUGCUGCGUCUGUGUGGUUCAGGGUACCUGAGGUAGUGAUACACUGUGACUCAUCUCAUGACAGCACUUAAUGAUCAUCUGAGCACCGCCGCCGCCGGCCAUGAGCUCAGGAAUUAUGGCUUCAGCGGGACAGUUUCCAACUUGUGUCUGUCUGCGAGGAAACAUCCGAGGAGCACAACACAGUUUCACAACGCUGCUUUCUUCCCCCUGAGGGAACUGAAAACACCAGCAGCUCGUACGGAAAGAAUUCAACCCUGACAUCAAGAGUUCUGAAGCAGGUCGGAUUUUAAUCAACAGGGAAGUCCUUGUGGUUUCCCUGAACCCUCUUUAACAGCUCUGACAAACACAAUCAGCUGUUGUCCUUCUGAUUUAAAAUAAAAAGGAAACACUUUUUAAACAAA